CCUACGGGGGGCAGCAGUGAGGAAUAUUGGUCAAUGGGCGCGAGCCUGAACCAGCCAAGUCGCGUGAGGGAUGAAGGUUCUAUGGAUCGUAAACCUCUUUUAUAAGGGAAUAAAGUGUGGUAUGUGUCCUAUUUUGUAUGUACCUUAUGAAUAAGGAUCGGCUAACUCCGUGCCAGCAGCCGCGGUAAUACGGAGGAUCCGAGCGUUAUCCGGAUUUAUUGGGUUUAAAGGGUGCGUAGGCGGCUUGUUAAGUCAGUGGUGAAAGGUUGUGGCUCAACCGUAGAAUUGCCGUUGAAACUGGGGGGCUUGAGUAUGGUAGAGGCAGGCGGAAUGCGUGGUGUAGCGGUGAAAUGCUUAGAUAUCACGCAGAACCCCGAUUGCGAAGGCAGCCUGCCAGGCCAUGACUGACGCUGAUGCACGAAAGCGUGGGGAUCAAACAGGAUUAGAUACCCGUGUAGUC
rnacentral:rRNA from 1 species